rnacentral:rRNA from 1 species
AACGAACGCUGGCGGCAGGCCUCAAACGUGCAAGUCUAGGGGGUGUAGCAAUACAUCACCGGCGGACGGGUGCGUAACACGUGGGAAUAUACCUUUUGGUUCGGAACAACGCAGGGAAACUUGCGCUAAUACCGAAUGUGCCCUUACGGGGAAAGAUUUAUCGCCAAAGGAUUAGCCCGCGUAGGAUUAGCUAGUUGGUGAGGUAAUGGCUCACCAAGGCUCCGAUCCUUAGCUGUUCUGAGAGGAAGAUCAGCCACACUGGGACUGAGACGCGGCCCAGACUCCUACGGGAGGCAGCAGUGGGGAAUCUUGCGCAAUGGGCGAAAGCCUGACGCAGCGACGCCGCGUGAGGGAAGAAGGCCUUCGGUUGUUAACUAC